rnacentral:rRNA from 1 species
GACGAACCGUGCGAACGUUGUUCGGAAUCACUGGGCUUAAAGGGCGCGUAGGCGGGCUGGCAAGUCAGGGGUGAAAGCCCACGGCUCAACCGUGGAAGUGCCUCUGAUACUGCCGGCCUGGAGGGAGGUAGGGGCGUGCGGAACUUCCGGUGGAGCGGUGAAAUGCGUAGAUAUCAGGAGGAACACCGGUGGCGAAGGCGGGUCUCUGGGCCGAUACUGACACUGAGGAGCGAAAGCGUGGGGAGCGAACAGG